rnacentral:rRNA from 1 species
GACGAGGGGUCCUAGCGUUGUUCGGAAUCACUGGGCGUAAAGCGUAUGUAGGCGGCUUUUCAAGUCAGGUGUGAAAUCCCAUGGCUUAACCAUGGAACUGCAUUUGAAACUGUAAAGCUUGAGUAUUGGAGAGGAUGGUAGAAUUCCUGGUGUAGUGGUGAAAUACGUAGAUAUCAGGAGGAAUACCGGUGGCGAAGGCGCCAUCUGCCAAAUACUGACGCUGAGAAUACGGAAAGUGUGGGGAUAAACAGG